UGCCUACGGGACGCAGCAGUGGGGAAUAUUGGGCAAUGGGCGCAAGCCUGACCCAGCAACACCGCGUGAAGGAAGAAGGCUUUCGGGUUGUAAACUUCUUUUAAGAGGGACGAAGGAAGUGACGGUACCUCUUGAAUAAGCCACGGCUAACUACGUGCCAGCAGCCGCGGUAAUACGUAGGGGGCAAGCGUUAUCCGGAUUUAUUGGGUGUAAAGGGAGCGUAGACGGCCAGACAAGUCUGAAGUGAAAAUCCAGCGCUUAACGUUGGAAGUGCUUUGGAAACUGCCGGGCUAGAGCGCAGGAGG
rnacentral:rRNA from 1 species